AUCCUACUCCCUCCGUUCGGAAUUACUUGUCGCGAAAAUGGAUGUAUCUAGACGUAUUUUAAUUCUAGAUACAUCUAUUUCCGAGACAAGUAAUUCCGAACGGAGGGAGUAGCUU
rnacentral:pre_miRNA from 1 species